GACGAACGCUGGCGGCGUGCCUAAUACAUGCAAGUCGAGCGGAGCUUAUCCUUCGGGGCAAGCUUAGCGGCGGACGGGUGAGUAACACGUAGGCAACCUGCCCCUUAGCCUGGGAUAACUACCGGAAACGGUAGCUAAUACCGGAUAAUCCCUUUCCUCGCCUGAGGGAAGGAUAAAAGGCGGAGUAAUCUGCUGAUAAGGGAUGGGCCUGCGGCGCAUUAGCUAGUUGGUGAGGUAACGGCUCACCAAGGCGACGAUGCGUAGCCGACCUGAGAGGGUGAACGGCCACACUGGGACUGAGACACGGCCCAGACUCCUACGGGAGGCAGCAGUAGGGAAUCUUCCGCAAUGGGCGAAAGCCUGACGGAGCAACGCCGCGUGAGUGAUGAAGGUUUUCGGAUCGUAAAGCUCUGUUGCCAGGGAAGAACGUCCGGUAGAGUAACUGCUACCGGAGUGACGGUACCUGAGAAGAA
rnacentral:rRNA from 1 species